rnacentral:tRNA from 1 species
ACCUAGAUAGUUUAUAUAAAAAUUUUAAUUUGUGGCAUUAAGGAAAUCUGUUGUUCUAGGUU